rnacentral:rRNA from 1 species
UACGGAGGGGGCUAGCGUUGUUCGGAAUUACUGGGCGUAAAGCGUACGUAGGCGGCUUGGCAAGUUAGAGGCGAAAGCCCGGAGCUCAACUCCGGAAUAGCCUUUGAGACUGCCUCGCUUGAACGUCGGAGAGGUGAGUGGAAUUCCGAGUGUAGAGGUGAAAUUCGUAGAUAUUCGGAAGAACACCAGUGGCGAAGGCGGCUCACUGGACGACUGUUGACGCUGAGGUACGAAAGCUAGGGGAGCGAACGGG